GCUCCGCUCUCGAGCACGCGAACUGCCUCGGAGCGCGCGAAGAGCGCGAAAAGCAGCAACACGUGCAGCGCACGCCUCCACGCCCGGCAGGUCCAGCUAGUGCUCCGCCGACGCAGCGCUACUACACGACUCCGAUCCAGAGCGCAGCUGCCGCCAGCCUGCAAACCCGCAACGACGCCCAGAGUCGGAGCGGAGAGUCGUCCUACAGGCGCCGACUGCUGCUGUGCACUUGCCGCCGUCCGUCAAUCGCGCCUGGGCGGACACUUGGUCGAGCGCUGGUGUCCCAUGGCAGCAUGAUGCGGACACGCGGGGACACUUGGCCGGAGCCACCGAGCCAGCACUGCUGCUGCUGCUGACACGCGCUGCGGAGGCGGGACCCCGUGCCAGCUGGUCACAUCAAUCUUUUGCCACCAUCAUGGAGCAAAACAACACGUUAUCAGUCAUCAUGUUCAUGGCCAUGUUUGGUGGCAGCACAUUCCUGUUAUUCCUAUUGUGCUACUGCUGCCAACGCAAAAUGAGAGAAAAUGCAUUUGCACCUUUGGACAAUGCCGUGACCACCCACCACCCACAGGCAUCAACAAACCUUGCACCACAGGCAACUCAAAUAAUACCAAGUGGGCCACCUCCCAAUUACGACGCUGUUGUCAAGAAAAACCCAGCAGAUCUGGAACCACCUCCAUAUGAAGUUGCUGUGGCAAGUCUUCAAGCUAGUGGCUAUGUCUGAGCAGUGCAUUGCCAGCUUAUUUAUUCCAUCCUUCAGCGGCACUGUGGGCAUGUGUCCUAAUGACCUAACAGAGGCCUUACAAUGUUCAUUGAAGAACUGUAAGGCUGAACUGUGCACACUACCAGACCUAUAAGGUGUGUGCUUACACUGUCUGAAGCUUAUUUAUUUACCCCCACCAUCAUCAGCCAGUGACUGUUUCGACUGACAGUCGUUAUCAUAAUCACCACAAUAAAGGUUUUAAACACAGUGUACUUGUGGCUUUUGGAUGAAGCAGUUGUUUCCACCAAAGAGUGGGGCUAAUAUAAACCUGUCCCAGUCACAUAGCACAGAAUUUUAUUACAAGAUGUCACACAAUUUUAAAAAAAAUGCACGCACACACACACACACAGACACAGACACACACACACACACA